ACGAACGCUGGCGGCGCGCCUAACACAUGCAAGUCGAGCGAUGAAAUUUUAACCGAUCUCUUCGGAGAGAAGAUAAAAUGGAUUAGCGGCGGACGGGUGAGUAACACGUGAGAAACCUGCCUUUCACAAGGGGAUAGCCUCGGGAAACCGGGAUUAAUACCCUAUGACACAUUUCCUUCGCAUGGAAGAAAUGUUAAAACUCCGGUGGUGAAAGAUGGUCUCGCGCCUGAUUAGCUAGUUGGUGGGGUAACGGCCCACCAAGGCCAUGAUCAGUAACCGGCGUGGGAGGGUGAACGGUCACAUUGGAACUGAGACACGGUCCAAACUCCUACGGGAGGCAGCAGUGGGGAAUAUUGCACAAUGGAGGAAACUCUGAUGCAGCGACGCCGCGUGAGCGAUGAAGGCUUUCGAGUCGUAAAGCUCUGUCCUAUGGGAAGAUAAUGACGGUACCAUAGGAGGAAGCCCCGGCUAACUACGUG
rnacentral:rRNA from 1 species